CCUUUCCGAACCCGGAAGCUAAGCCUGUUUGCGCUGAUGGUACUGCACCUGUGAGGGUGUGGGAGAGUAAGUUGCUGCCGACC
rnacentral:rRNA from 1 species